GUCUAUGGCCAUACCACCCUGAAUGCACCCAAUCUCGUCCGAUCUCAGAAGCUAAGCAGGGUUGGGCCUAGUUAGUACUUGGAUGGGAAAUAAUCAGAAGCAUCAAAA
rnacentral:rRNA from 1 species